CCCUGAUGGCACAGUGAGUUAAGGAUCUGGCAUUGUCACUGUUGUGGCUUGAGGUGGAUCCCUGGCCUGGGAAUUUAUGCAUGCCAGGGACACAGAAAGAAAAGAAAGAAAGGAAGGAAGAGGAAGGAAAGAAGGAAGAAAGAGCAGAGGAAAUCAAUAACCCUCAGUUGCCCUUUACAAUCCAGUCAUAGAGCAGAAAGCAUUGGUCCUAGUAGCUGCAAAUCAUUUUGCUGGUUUCCUGGCUGUCUGAGUUUUGGAACCCAUCUGAGCAAACCUCCUAACCCCUGAACUGCAUCACAAGGCAGCACAGCCUGUGGUCAACAUCACUGGCUCCAAUACCAGUGGGCCUGGCUUUGAAUCCUUGCUCUUCACCUGCAUGGCCAAGUUAGUUAAGUGUUGCAAAAUGGAGCUAGUAAUAAUAGCCCUAGUUGGUUUCAGUGGGGGCUCAAGCAAAUAAUACAUGUAAAGGAUGAAGAAACUAUCUAGCACAUAACUAGGGGUCAGUAAUUUUGGGUGAAUGUUAGUGAUUAGAAUCAUUAAUGCAUUUUUCAUCCUUCUCUUUGUUCCAUCACAGCCCCAUCAUGAUGGCUCCCAAUCUUGUGUGGUGGUAGCAAAGCAGACCUCAUGAGAAAGUCAGGAGACUUGCAUAGACAUGGACCUUAAGGAAGGCUGUGAUGAAAAGUCUGGCAUCUUAUUUCAAAAGAUCUGAGCUUAAAAUUUGGAGCCAAGUCAACCUGGGUUUUCUGAUGAUUGGCUGGUUCUGUGACCUUAAGCAAGAUCUCAGGGCCUCAGAAUGUACGUAUAUAACUAUGUGUGCCUAUGAAAGUUUGCUAUUUAAAGAGUAAAACUGCAACAAAAGAAUUCUACUGGAGUUCCCGUCAUGGCUCAGCAGAAAUGAAUCUGACUAGCAUCCAUGAGGAUGCAGGUUCGAUUCCUGGGCUCGCUCAGUGGGUUAAGGAUCCGGCAUUGCUGUGAGUUAUAGCGCAGGUUGCGGACACAGCUUGGAUCUGGUGUUGCUGUGGCUGUGGUGUAGGGCAGCUAUAGCUCCAAUUCAGCCCCUAGCCUGGGAACCUCCAUAUGCUGCAAGUGCAUCCCUAAAAAGACAGGAAAAAAAAAAAAAAGAAUUCUACCUCUUGUGACCUUUAAACUUUGUAACUAGUGGUAUGCAUAAUUUCAAGGCUGCUCUGAACUUAUGGACAGCUUAGGUUCAUGAAAUUUUAUUUGGGGGAUUGAGUAUAAUAAACCAACCCAAACCUUUGUGGCUUAAAACAAUAAUCAUUUGCUUAGCUGAACUCUGAGGGUUGCCAAUCUGGUCUGGGCCCAGCUGGGCAGUUCUUUUGCUGGUUGCAAAUGGUCUCCUCCCUCACCUGCAGUCAACUGUAAGUCAUCUAGGUGGCUUUGCUUCUGGAAGUUAGUUAGCUUUUGGUUGGGGCAAAGACAAUGAGCUACAUGAUUCUUAUUGUCUAUCAGGCUAGCCUGGGCUUGAUUACAUGGUAGCAGUCAUGGGAUUGAAGAGAAGCAAGAAAGGGUAAGUCCCAAUAUAUAAGCAGUUUUCAGGUUUCUACUUGGUGUCUCGGUGGCCAAAGCAAAUCACAUGGCCAAACCCUGAGUAAGUAUAUGGGAAACUUUGCAAGGGUAUGGAUGCAGGGUGGUACGAACAUAUCGGGAGACAUUGCUACAAUAAUCUACCAGAGCACAGUGAAACUUGUUCUGGGAGAAGAAGUUCUAAAAUAGGUACCUUAUACACAUGAGGCCAAAGUGACCUCUCUCUUAAUGAACUCCAGGGAGAAAUCAUUCAGUCUAUAAGUCUGGACAAAUCAUUUGAAUGAUGAACUUCUCUUCCUGACCAUUUGAAAAGUUGGAUCUUGCAUAUGGAUUUUCUUAAUCUGUGAAUUAUGACCCCAGCAUAGGAAGUUUCCAAGUCUCUUUAAACUCUGGUGGCAUUCUGUGAAUAUAUAAUUUUCCUUUCCUCUUACAUAGUAGUUGAAGCCCAGCCCAAGAAAGCUCUGUUUCCUCUUCCAACAGGGUGGACAGGAGAUUUCAGCCCAGUGCAAGAAACAGUUGGUAAACCAUGAUAUGACCAUGCAUUAAAAUGUCUCUAUAAGUAGUGAGCUCUCUGUUAUUGGAGGUAAUCAAACAUAUUAGCCAUUUUUUCAAAAAUGAUGUGAAAUUGUGGUUCUAAUUGUACAUGUAUGAGAGGACAUCAGAAUUGUCUUUUGCUCCUAGGGAUUCUUAUGCUCACCCCAGAGGCAGGACACACAGAAAAGUGGAAUUAGUUCAUAUAUCUAGUAUAAAAAAAAAAUUAGAUUUGUUCAACAAAAACAACAACAAAAAAAGCACGUACUGUAAGUAGAGUACUUUCCUAUCAUAUACUUUUCUUUACUCUUUUUUUUUUUACUGGUAACUCCUUUUUACAAAGGGAAGAAUGAAAACCCAGAGAGUUUAAAAAGUUUGCCCCAAAGUCAUCCCAGCCAGUGUCUAAAGGGUUCUUUCAGUGUGUUCUUGGUGACCUGCUUGCUUUCCUUCUUUCCUUCCAGCAUUGAUUCAUUUGUUCAGUCUGUCCCUCAUUUGAUGUUCGGCCUACGUGAAAUUUCUAUUAGUGUUAAGAAGAAUAGACAUUCAUUAUUCUCCGAACAUAUAUCCACUUCAAGUUCCACACCUUAAAGUUUUGGUGAGAAUGAAAUGAGAUAAUAUGUGUAAAACCUGUAAGAAAUACCUGGUACCUAGACAUCACUCUGUGAAGGCUGAUGUUAUUUGGGGACAGAAGACAGGGAGCCUUUGAAACUGAGCCUGAGCUCAGAGAAUCUGAGGUGCCUGGUCAGAAAGAAACAUGUACAAAAGGUUAGAGGCAGUGACCAGAGCUCUCGCUCCUUGAAUCCUGCGGUUGCUAUAGGAACCUUGAAGAGAAUGAAGGGCACCCUGAGCAGAGGACACCUCACAGGGAGCUGAUGGAUCAGGAGAGCAGCCUGAGGUGGCAUCCCCCCACCCCCCACCCCGCUUCCCCACCCUGGCUCACCUCCUCUCACCACUCAAGCCAGGACUGAGAAGUUCCUUGAACUUCUUUGGAAGCACUGCACAUUUCUGGAGAGUGCCAAGAAAGUACACCAGCAGAACCGCAGUGGGGACCUCUGCUCCUUUGAGAUGGUGCCCAAGGUCAGCUUGAGAUGGAGGAGUUAAUCCUUUGCCCCAACCCUAUGCACCCACAGCCCCUCCAAGACCUAAGACAACCCCACACUGGCUAUCUCUCGUAGUGACCAACAUCUGGUCCCUAGAAAAUACUAAAGUAAAUCUUGCCCUGGCAAACUCUGGGAGUGCAGGUCACCCCCAGCAGCUUGCCACUUUCUCCUUCACUCUGAGGACAAACCAGCUCUCCAGGUCUAGUUCUAAAGCAUGUCAGACCCUGGCCACCCCACAGUAGGCUCUUUAUAGCAUCUCCUGGAAGCCCCUUUCCCUUGUUUUGCAUUCAGAGCCUUAUGGAAGGAUGUGCUCUCUGAGCAGGGGUGAGAAGUUGAAGAGAGGACAGAAUUUCCUUUAAAAGAAGAUCCUUUUUUGCAAUUGUUUGGAAGUAAAAUGCUGACAAGGCAGUUCUUAACAAUGCUGGAGAGAGAUUAGAGGAAGCAGAUUGAAAUGCAUAACGGAAGCAUCAGGUAAAAACAGCAGGUAGAGCUGGUGGUCUACUUUUCAUGAACUUGCACACUGAAAGAUGCACAGCCCCGAUCCCACCUGGCCUAUCCUGCCUCCAGCUCACUAACAUCUCCUGCUGGUGAAGACUGGCUCUUCCCAGCCCAGAUCCACAGCUUUAGGCCCAGGUCUGAAGAGGAACAGCCCAGAGAGGCUGCUUUCUCUCAAAAGAGCUUUACCACCUGGAGCCACGGCUGUUACAGAAGCAGUUUCAAGGACCCCAGGUGAAAUAUUUGGCACAAAUGGAGAAGGCACCAGCAUUCAGGAUCUGUCCUGUGCUCCCCGGUGGGCUGAGGGCUUUUCCUACAGAAU
rnacentral:lncRNA from 1 species